UACGUAGGGUGCAAGCGUUAAUCGGAAUUACUGGGCGUAAAGCGUGCGCAGGCGGUUUCUUAAGUCAGGUGUGAAAGCCCCGGGCUUAACCUGGGAACUGCGUUUGAAACUGGGAGACUUGAGUGUGGCAGAGGGGGGUGGAAUUCCACGUGUAGCAGUGAAAUGCGUAGAGAUGCGGAGGAACACCGAUGGCGAAGGCAGCCCCCUGGGCUAACACUGACGCUCAGGCACGAAAGCGUGGGGAGCAAACAGG
rnacentral:rRNA from 1 species